rnacentral:misc_RNA from 1 species
GUACGCUCACACUCCCAAUCGCAUUGGAUUGGGAGCGGUGGACUUGGGUGUUGCUGCUUGACUGUGGCUCACCUGAAAUAUGUUAGUGCACCUCUUGAUUGGACAUAGUACGGCGUGAUAAGUGUCUUCGCUGGCUCCUCACAAAGAGGGUGGCUGAUCAGGAGCUCUGUUGCAGCAAACUGUCUUCGGACAAUCUUCUGGCG